UGGGGAAUUUUGGACAAUGGGCGAAAGCCUGAUCCAGCAAUGCCGCGUGUGAAGAAGGCCUUCGGGUUGUAAAGCACUUUUGUCCGGAAAGAAAUCCUUGGCUCUAAUACAGUCGGGGGAUGACGGUACCGGAAGAAUAAGCACCGGCUAACUACGUGCCAGCAGCCGCGGUAAUACGUAGGGUGCAAGCGUUAAUCGGAAUUACUGGGCGUAAAGCGUGCGCAGGCGGUUUGCUAAGACCGAUGUGAAAUCCCCGGGCUCAACCUGGGAACUGCAUUGGUGACUGGCAGGCUAGAGUAUGGCAGAGGGGGGUAGAAUUCCACGUGUAGCAGUGAAAUGCGUAGAGAUGUGGAGGAAUACCGAUGGCGAAGGCAGCCCCCUGGGCCAAUACUGACGCUCAUGCACGAAAGCGUGGGGAGCAAACAGGAUUAGAUACCCUGGUAGUCCACGCCCUAAACGAUGUCAACUAGUUGUUGGGGAUUCAUUUCCUUAGUAACGUAGCUAACGCGUGAAGUUGACCGCC
rnacentral:rRNA from 1 species